GCACAUGUGCCAGAUAAUCUUGCAUUCUUGCUCACGAGGGGUUGGAGAUAGACUUACACAGCGUGUUGCGGCUAGAAUUUGGACCAAGAUUCUCCAGAAUGGCCAAACUUGGCAGUGAUAGAGCUCUAGCAUAUGAAACAGUUUCCAUCCAUGAAGUUGAAGCUACAAAUUGCAUUGGUGCGCAUGAAAGCCAAUUUUAUGAGCCUCUAACUGCAGACUCAUUGAAUUCGGUCAGUGCACAUCUGUGAAACGAUCCAAAAAUUGAAAAUUAUUACAGGUGGGGUUUGGUUUUAUUUUGGUUGGCUAGGUGAAUUCAUCCACGGGUUUGGUCUGGUUUGGGAUCUAUGGGAUUUGAGGGAAAGUUGUAAUAAUAUAUUCCCCCCGUUAUUGUGGCUUUCCUUUUUGGUCCAGCCAAUGCAUUUUUUUAUUAUGUUCCUUCCAUUUUACUUUUAUAAGGGAGCAUGUUUUCUCUUGGCUAAAUUGGAAUAUCUAAAAAUUGGUCAGAAAAUGUCUUUGAGACUAAUGAAGUGAAUCAAGAAAGGAAAAUUAUUUUAUUAUGCAUUAUUAAAAACAAAGAUUGAAUGUGGUUGUUAAACUUUAAGAUCUUUGCAUCUAUUUCAAGACAUAUUUUACAAGUGCUACUCUAAAAUAAAGUUUGGAAUAGGUGUUUUUCUUAAAAAUAAAUUUUAGGGUGGUGACGUCUGGGCUAGUUUGAGCGCUCUUCAAUUAAUCUAUUAAGCAGCAUGCUUGAAGCCCAUAACCCACAAGCACAUGUGCCAGAUAAUCUUGCAUUCUUGCUCACGAGGAGUUGGAGAUAGACUUACACAGCGUGUUGCGGCUAGAAUUUGGACCAAGAUUCUCCAGAAUGGCCAAACUUGGCAGUGAUAGAGCUCUAGCAUAUGAAACAGUUUCCAUCCAUGAAGUUGAAGCUACAAAUUGCAUUGGUGCGCAUGAAAGCCAAUUUUAUGAGCCUCUAACUGCAGCCUCAUUGAAUUCGGUCAGUGCACAUCUGUGAAACGAUCCAAAAAUUGAAAAUUAUUAAAGGUGGGGUUUGGUUUUAUUUUGGUUUGCCAGGUGAAUUCAUCCACGGGUUUGGUCAGGUUUGGGAUCUAUGGGAUUUGAGGGAAAGUUGUAAUAAUAUAUCCCCCCUUAUUGUGGCUUUCCUUUUUGGUCCAGCCAAUGCAUUUUUUUAUUAUGUUCUU